GACGAAAGCUGGCGGCGUGCUUAACACAUGCAAGUCGAACGAUGAACCCGGAGCUUGCUCCGGUGGAUUAGUGGCGAACGGGUGAGUAACACGUGAGUAACCUGCCCUUGACUCUGGAGUAACUGCGGGAAACUGUAGCUAAUACCGGAUACGACUCUCGGCGGCGUCGCCAGGGGGUGGAAAGCUUUUGCGGUGUGGGAUGGGCCCGCGGCCUAUCAGCUUGUUGGUGGGGUGAUGGCCUACCAAGGCGACGACGGGUAGCCGGCCUGGGAGGGUGACCGGCCACACUGGGACUGAGAUACGGCCCAGACUCCUACGGGAGGCAGCAGUGGGGAAUAUUGCACAAUGGGCGCAAGCCUGAUGCAGCGACGCCGCGUGAGGGAUGACGGCCUUCGGGUUGUAAACCUCUUUCAGCACAGACGAAGCGCAAGUGACGGUAUGUGCAGAAGAAGGACCGGCCAACUACGUGCCAGCCGCCGCCGUAA
rnacentral:rRNA from 1 species